rnacentral:rRNA from 1 species
AUUGAACGCUGGCGGCAGGCUUAACACAUGCAAGUCGAGCGGAGUGAUGGUGCUUGCACUAUUACUUAGCGGCGGACGGGUGAGUAAUGCUUAGGAAUCUGCCAUUUAGUGGGGGACAACAUUCCGAAAGGAAUGCUAAUACCGCAUACGUCCUACGGGAGAAAGCAGGGGAUCUUCGGACCUUGCGCUAAAUGAUGAGCCUAAGUCGGAUUAGCUAGUUGGUGGGGUAAAGGCCUACCAAGGCGACGAUCUGUAGCGGGUCUGAGAGGAUGAUCCGCCACGCUGGGACUGAGACACGGCCCAGACUCCUACGGGAGGCAGCAGUGGGGAAUAUUGGACAAUGGGCGGAAGCCUGAUCCAGCCAUGCCGCGUGUGUGAAGAAGGCCUUUUGGUUGUAAAGCACUUUAGGCGAGGAGGAGGCUCUCCUAGUUAAUACCUAGGAAGAGUGGACGUUGCUCGCAGAAUAAGCACCGGCUAACUCUGUGCCAGCCGCCGCAGUAAUAC